UACGUAGGGUGCGAGCGUUGUCCGGAAUUAUUGGGCGUAAAGCGCACGUAGGCGGCUUGCUAAGUCAGGGGUGAAAUCCUGGAGCUCAACUCCAGAACUGCCUUUGAUACUGGCAAGCUUGGAGUCCGGGAGAGGUGAGUGGAACUGCGAGUGUAGAGGUGAAAUUCGUAGAUAUUCGCAAGAACACCAGUGGCGAGGGCGGCUCACUGGCCCGGUACUGACGCUGAGGUGCGAAAGCGUGGGGAGCAAACAGG
rnacentral:rRNA from 1 species